rnacentral:rRNA from 1 species
UACGUAGGCAGCAAGCGUUGUUCGGAGUUACUGGGCGUAAAGGGUGUGUAGGCGGUUGGUUAAGUUUGGUGUGAAAUCUCCCGGCUCAACCGGGAGGGUGCGCCGAAUACUGAAUGACUUGGAGUGCGGGAGAGGGAAGUGGAAUUCCUGGUGUAGCGGUGAAAUGCGUAGAUAUCAGGAGGAACACCGGUGGUGUAGACGGCUUUCUGGACCGUAACUGACGCUGAGACACGAAAGCGUGGGUAGCAAACAGG